UAGGAGUGCUCUUGUGGUUCCUGGAAGCCAUGGGGCUCACCUGGAGGAAGAUAAUCUGCGCUUGCAGGAGGAGCUGGACAGGGCUGGCGCGGAGCUGCAGGAGGAGGAAGAAAAGCAUCUUCAGUCUGAGCAUUGUGUUCCUGACUUGAAGACUGCCUUGGAUGCCAAGAAAAGAGAGGCAGUAACUUCCUCCCAGGAACUGCAGGACCUCCUGGAAGAAGACGCGCAAGACUUUGCAAGUGAGAACAGCAGAUUGGAAGCCACUGUCCAGCAGCCAAGCGACAGCGUUGAAGCCCUUCCGAGAGCCCUGCAAGCCUCUGCCUCAGUAAGCUGGUCCUAAAUUUCCCUUUUUGUGACUCUUGAGCCUAGUUGCCUAUUUCUGUGGGGCAACUGUCAGAUGAAGUUUUCCUGCAGAGCCUGGGGAGCUCAGUUUCUGCCU